ACCAACCAAACUAGAGCGCACGGAUCGGUGCUUUUCAUCUGGCAACCCCUGCCGUCCGCAGAUCACACCCCCAGGCCCCCCCUAUCUCGCCUCCCGUGCUCCGCUGCCCAGCCAUGAGCCAUAGCCGACGACAUGCUCUCCCGGUGGCCGCACCUCCUGCCGCUACACGACUUCGCCCAUCUGACCCCCGGUGGCCGCACCUCCUGCCGCUGCACGACUUCGCCCAUCUGACCCCCCUCUUCGUCGUCGUCACCCCCUACCCCUCCUCUCCGCCUUCCUCGCAUCCAGCCCUCUGGCCACCAGUAUUGGGAUAAUCAUCAAUUAAGAACAGUAGAACACAGAACAGACGCUCCUCCCUGCCGCGGCGGGGCUCGCCUCCUAGCCAUGGCGCAAGAACUUCUCCUUCGCGAGGCCCACCAUGCCAUGAUGCCGGCUCCCUCGCGCUGCUCAUGCAAGAACCCACCGCCGGCCCCUCAUAGCCAUGGCGCAAGAUCCCGGCCAUUCAGUUUGAGGCGGCGAUUCUGGUUCAGGGACUGUGAUUUGGGCUUCUCGUGGUGUUUGUUCGCCUUCUGUUGUCUUCGAUGGUGUUUUUGGUCCGGCGGUUGUUGGACUUUAUUUAUCCAUGGUUCUUGGAUUUUAGGCAUCGUCUCUGAUCUGACAGUAUCUGGCUGACUGGCUAUCCUUCAAAGAAAUUUUGUCACCAAUGACUUUAGAACUAGAUUGUGUUACUAGCUAGAUUAUAAUGAUACUUGUGUGCACAGUCCUGUGUUUGCAUUAAUGAUUCUGAGUACAGAUGAGCCACAAGAUGCUGGUGAUUUCUACCAUCUCUAUUGGUUUUGCUGCGUGUUCACCCCUCCCUCCUAUUGUAUAUUUAUGAAAUAUUGAAUUGAUUGAAAAUAUAAAAGUUAGGUGCUUUAGUUCUAAAGGUUGACUAUUAUUUUACCUCAGAUUGUUGUGUAGGAACUUGCAGAUUAAAAUAAGAGUUAAUCAUGUUUCCCAUUGCAAAUUAGAUGGGGAAAUAGCCAACUAUUUUAAUUUUCUGUUUGCAUUUGCAUACUUUUCCAUUGCAACCCAUAAAAGGAAAUAAGAGUUAAGUUUAUUUCCCAUAAUGGUCAAGUCUAAUACAUUAGUACUUGUUUACCUCCUUCCAUUUUUUUCUCCAUUGCAGAAUGAAAGAAACACUUUUGUGACCUUUGCAAAGUUUCCAUAUCAGUUACUCAAACUCAGAGUUGCAUUUCAGAGUUACACACACAUCCUUUUAGUAUUAAGCUGCAUCUUUUUUCCAUGCUAGCAUGUCUACUGCCUAAUUAGAACCUUCUAUGUGCAUCUGUGCUGUCACUAUUGUUACAUACUUAAAAGUUAGGUUCAUGUUAAUUCUAGCCGUGUUUCAUUUUGUUCAUUCUAGUCCUGUUCAGACUGAAGAAGAUAUAAUUGCCAGCAUCUGCGCUAUCAUUAUUGUCAUAUCCUUACGAAGUUAGAUUCUUGUUUUGUUGUGUAUUAUUUUGUUCAUUAUCGUCCUGUUUAAACUAAAGAAGAAAUAGCUGCCAGCUUGCUUUGAUUAUUUUGCAGGAAGCUAUUAGACCAAAGCUAUGUAGCAAACACAUCUGAAAGGCUGCAGGAGUUUAUUCUCAUACUGUUUUUGUGCAGCUCCGCAAAGUUCUUUGCGAGGCAUAAUUCUGUUAUUUGACUGACGUGAUUUCAUUUGCCCAUUUCAGCACUGUUGGCCACAAAGUGUUUGCAGUUAGGCCAGUUUUAGUAGGCCCGUUUAAAUCUAUUCUCGUGUCCUGUUUCAGCUUUAAUAGGUGUUAAACUUUAUGUUUUCCGGUCUUUGUUCUGCUGAAAUGAGAAGAGCUGGAGAUUGUUGAGCCUAUUGAACCUAAGCUGUACUUGUGCUCUCAUCAUUAUUGAUAAUCUUGCAAAGUUUUGUGAAGCUUCAUUCCAAGUUAUGGCAAAUAAUUAGUAAUUAAUUGUGCAGAUAGCAGCUCGUGAUUCCAAAGCUAGAUCACCAAGUGAUCUCACAAGUAGGUUUUUUUUAAUGUUGGGAAUUUUACUCUUAUUUCUUUUGUAUACAUAUUAUUGAAUGAGGCUAUAUAAUGUAUUGAACUCGUCCUUCAUGGUACUUGUGGAAUUUUGUAAUGGAAUAAAUAAGCAUAUAGCAGCUUGUAAAUUCAUGUUACUUGUAUGGAACAUGUAGCCAUAUUUUCAAAGCUAGGCACCUAGUUUCUCUAGCGUUGGAACUAGAACACCUAGUCUUUUGUAUGCUGUCGUUGAAUGUUUACUAGUAAAUUGUGUAUAUGGUUGAUUCUCAUGAUGCCUACAUAGAAUGGAACAUGUAACAAAAUUAGAUUAUUGCAGGCUGCUUUAAUAGUGAAACAAACAUAAAUAUAUGUUUUUGCCACUUUAAUUGAACGAUUUAAAUUUUGCUGAUGUGCCUAAGUAAUCAUGUUUGUUUUUAUAUGCCAAUUGAAAAUUAAUUUAGAUUAGCCAAAAGUAAGUUUGUUGGUGAUGGGAGAAUGAUUUAUUACCAAUCAGUAUAUAUGCUUAAUCAUCCGUACUUUUAGUAUUCAGAAUUCCCUUGUGCCAUGAUUUCACAUAUUGACCAAAAGCGAUGAGGUCAACUUGCACUUCGGCGACAUAUACAUGAGAUUGAUAGUCCAAUCUCUGGGCUUGUUGAUCGUUCGUGGCCCAGUAUUCAAAGUACCCUUUUGAGCGAGCACCCAAACUUCAUGGUCGGUCAAGAUACCGCUUUCCCUGCCAGGCUUGCUAAGGCGCUAAUUACUGAGUUCGACAAGUGACCAUCAUGCAUGGCCUCGAUAAGGUCAAUGGGGACUGAAAAUUAGUUUGCGGUGCAAGUGGUUGGAGCAAAACUAUAUCGUAUAUGUUAUUUAAGUAUUAAAUUAGUUAGUUUCAUUUGUUUAGUUUGUGGCUAUUGUAUAAAUUAUAUGAUGUCCAUGUAUUUGCUUUGGAUGCCCAACCUAAUGCCAAUUGGUUUGAAUUACCUUGAUGACAUAUUGUCGAGUUCCUACCCUACCACCUAUAUUUGCAUAUUGGAAGUGCUACUUGUGCACCUUUUUUCCAUCUGACCCAUCUUAUGUUAAGCUCUUAAACAUCAAAGUACCAAAUGACGGUUUCUAUAACAUGUCAAUGAGGGCAACUUAAACAUGUUUGUGCCUAAGUGGCCAACAAAGCUUGUGUUUUUCUCUUGUCAAGGCUACAUUAAUUCUUCUAUCGCACCAAUUGUAGGGGUCUCCCUUACAAUCUUUCCAUUAAAAAAAAAGGAAGCUUACAAUCCACCACUAUUGCACCUAAUUGUUGAAAAUAUUGUUAUGUCCAAUCUAUGAGGUGUCUUCAGAAAUGGUUUGAGUUCACAAUGUAAGAUGCCACCUCAGCAUCAUGGGACCCACAUGUCAGCAGCCAUGACAGACCUAAUACUUGACGGUGACGGCAUAUGUUGUCAUCUAAUAUAUUUGAUAAUGAAAGAUUUUCGUAUUUACGAUGACAGACACGUCCGUGAAGGAUACCCAUCUUAGAUGACAUAGUAUGGACCGUCAUCGAAGAUCAUUUGACAGUGACAAAAGAUUGUAUUCGGUCACUAUGAAAGAAUCUAUGACGGUGCUUCCAUGACGGAGCUCGUGAUGACACAUUUUUGUCACCUAAGUGUAAUAGGUGACGAAUAUGGCAUUUUAGGUGACAAAAGUGGUUUGUCAUUGAAUAGGAUUUUUCUUGUAGUGACACCGCAAAUUUUGAGUGUUGCAUCAUUUUGACAUCUUCAGGGUCUUUUUCAUCAGGUAAGACAAGUGGUUGGUUUGUUACCCUACAGUUAGCUAUUAACGUUAAUAGUCUUUAUUGUAUUUAGACUUAUUGUUAUCGGUCUAUAAGCUUAUGAGUGUAAAAACCAAAGCGAUUAUUAUAUAUACCACGAUCAUCUCUCUGUUA